rnacentral:rRNA from 1 species
AUUGAACGCUGGCGGCAGGCCUAACACAUGCAAGUCGAGCGGAUGAAGGGAGCUUGCUCCUGGAUUCAGCGGCGGACGGGUGAGUAAUGCCUAGGAAUCUGCCUGGUAGUGGGGGAUAACGUCCGGAAACGGGCGCUAAUACCGCAUACGUCCUGAGGGAGAAAGUGGGGGAUCUUCGGACCUCACGCUAUCAGAUGAGCCUAGGUCGGAUUAGCUAGUUGGUGGGGUAAAGGCCUACCAAGGCGACGAUCCGUAACUGGUCUGAGAGGAUGAUCAGUCACACUGGAACUGAGACACGGUCCAGACUCCUACGGGAGGCAGCAGUGGGGAAUAUUGGACAAUGGGCGUAAGCCUGAUCCAACCAUGCCGCGUGUGUGAAGAAGGUCUUCGGAUUGUAAAGCACUUUAAGUUGGGAGGAAGGGCAGUAAGUUAAUACCUUGCUGUUUUGACGUUACCAACAGAAUAAGCACCGGCUAACUUCGUG